AAUAUUGCAAAAUGGGCGAAAGCCCGAUGCAGCAACGCCGCGUGGGCGAUGAAGGCCUUCGGGUCGUAAAGCCCUUUUUGAGGGGAUGAGGAAGGACAGUACCCUCAGAAUAAGCCUCGGCUAACUACGUGCCAGCGGCCGCGGUAAAACGUAGGAGGCGAGCGUUAUCCGGAUUUACUGGGCGUAAAGCGCGUGCAGGCGGAUUGGAGAGUUGGAUGUGAAAGCUCCCGGCUUAGCUGGGAGAGGUCGUUCAAUACUUCCAGUCUUGAGUGCAGUAGAGGGAAGUGGAAUUCCGGGUGUAGUGGUGAAAUGCGUAGAUAUCCGGAGGAACACCAGUGGCGAAAGCGGCUUCCUGGACUGUAACUGACGCUCAGACGCGAAAGCUAGGGUAGCAAACG
rnacentral:rRNA from 1 species